rnacentral:rRNA from 1 species
AUUGAACGCUGGCGGCAGGCCUAACACAUGCAAGUCGAACGAGUGGCGGACGGGUGAGUAAUGUCGGGGAACCUGCCUGAUGGAGGGGGAUAACUACUGGAAACGGUAGCUAAUACCGCAUAACAUCAGAUGUGCCCAGAUUGGAUUAGCUAGUUGGUGGGGUAACGGCUCAACAAGGCGAAGAUCCCUAGCUGGUCUGAGAGGAUGACCGGCCACACUGGGACUGAGACACGGCCCAGACUCCUACGGGAGGCAGCAGUGGGGAAUCUUGCACAAUGGGCGCAAGCCUGAUGCAGCCAUGCCGCGUGUAUGAAGAAGGCCUUCGGGUUGUAAAGUACUUUCGGCGGGGAGGCGUUACCCGCAGAAGAAGCACCGGCUAACUCCGUGCCAGCAGCCGCGGUAAUAC